CGGGAUGCAGCGUGCCGGGGCAGGGCGGGGCGACGGAUGUAGGCGGAAUCGAGCGGCGCUUGUUUGGUGCGUCACUGGCGGCCAGCCAGAGGAGGGCAUAGUAGGGCGAGCUCGGCUCACCGUAGCGGGUGAAAGACCUCGAGCCCCACUAGUGGAUCCGGUCGCCGGCAUUGGUGCAGCGGUCGGUAGUAACGGCAGAGAUAGAUUGGACCGAGCUAGAGGAGAGGAGCAAAGGGUAGUAGGAGCGACCUUAGGUGAGAGGGAGGGAGGAAGAAGACGAAACAAAUAAAAGUAAGGUCCAUGGACGUCUCCAAUGUACAGGAAAGAGCCGGUUACAUGGUUUGAGUGGGACCCACAUAUAAAUAAGAAAAUCAAUUUCUUCUCAACUACCCCUUUCUUCCCCAUGGAGGCAACCGGCAGCACGCCGCUUCCUCUUCUUGUUGUCUCCAUCUUCUUCCCUUCCCAGUUCUGAUCUGCCUCAAAUCCUCCCAACCUACUCCCCAAAAAGGCACAAAUCAAACACCUAGCGGCUGGAUCUGAAGGCUAUGGUGCCGGAUUCGGAGAAGAUAGCCUCCAGUGAAGCGGCCCCUUCGUUCCAGACGCCAUUGCUGCGGAGGCCGAACGAGUCCAGGUGACGACGCUCCUCCGUCCAUCCUCAGUCAGCGACGCCCCCAACCUUCAUGCUGCAGCAACGCAUGCUGGGGUUGCAGGUGUGGCCGUGGACGAGGCAGCCAGGAAGUACCGCAGACGGCGGGGUCGAAGGUAGCACCGCGAGGCGGCGGCCGGAACAGCAGCGCGGGCGAGCUCGGAGCGGUGCCAUGGCCUCAGCUUCGUCCAUACGGAUCUGCUCGACCUCGGCUUCAUCCAGGCGGCGGGCGGGAGCAGCGACGGCAGGAGAGAGAAAGGUCCGGUGGGUAUAGGAUUGGGAUAGGAGCGCCCGUUGGAGUGGUAGAUCUCCGUUCCCCGAUCCGACUAGCAUGUUACGAGAGUCAACUAACAUGUUACGAGAGUUAGCAAGGGCAUCAGCAAGGUAUAAGGUGCACCCCUGUUUCUAAGAUGGGACCCAACAAUGAUUUGAUAUCACAUGUUGUAUUAGCUCCAAUGUAUAGAACAAGUUGAAUCUAUGAAUAUGGAACCCGCAACCCUCCAUCUCU